CCCUUAGAUGUCCUGGGCCGCACGCGCGCUACACUGACAUGUUCAACAAGCCUCCUAGUUCGACAGGAUUUGGGAAAUCUUUGAACGCAUGUCGUGAUAGGGAUAGAUCAUUGCAAUUAUUGAUCUUGAACGAGGAAUUCCUAGUAAACGCGAGUCAUCAGCUCGCAUUGAUUACGUCUCUGCCCUUUGUACACACCGCCCGUCGCACCUACCGAUUGAAUGUUUCGGUGAAGAUUCCGGAUAGGACUUUUUUGAUUUAUUUCAAUUUUGUCUUAAAAGCUAUCUAAACCUCAACAUUUAGAGGAAGGUGAAGUCGUAACA
rnacentral:rRNA from 1 species